rnacentral:rRNA from 1 species
UACAGAGACUGCAAGCGUUAUUCGGAUUCACUGGGCGUAAAGGGUGCGCAGGCGGCCAAGUGUGUGAGGCGUGAAAGCCCGGGGCUUAACCUCGGAAUUGCACCUCAAACUACAUGGCUAGAGCAUUGGAGAGGGUAGCAGAAUUCACGGUGUAGCAGUGAAAUGCGUAGAUAUCGUGAGGAAUACCAGAGGCGAAGGCGGCUACCUGGACAAUUGCUGACGCUCAGGCACGAAAGCGUGGGGAGCAAAAGGG